rnacentral:rRNA from 1 species
AGAGUUUGAUCCUGGCUCAGGACGGACGCUGGCGGCGUGCUUAACACAUGCAAGUCGAACGGUGACGAGGAGCUUGCUCCUCUGAUCAGUGGCGAACGGGUGAGUAACACGUGAGCAACCUGCCCCAGACUCUGGGAUAACAGUUGGAAACAGCUGCUAAUACCGGAUACGAGACGGAGAGGCAUCUCUACCGUCUGGAAAGUUUUUCGGUCUGGGAUGGACUCGCGGCCUAUCAGCUAGUUGGUGAGGUAAUGGCUCACCAAGGCGACGACGGGUAGCCGGCCUGAGAGGGCGACCGGCCACACUGGGACUGAGACACGGCCCAGACUCCUACGGGAGGCAGCAGUGGGGAAUAUUGCACAAUGGGCGAAAGCCUGAUGCAGCGACGCCGCGUGAGGGAUGACGGCCUUCGGGUUGUAAACCUCUUUCAGCAGGGAAGAAGCGAAAGUGACGGUACCUGCAGAAGAAGCACCGGCUAACUACGUGCCAGCAGCCGCGGUAAUACGUAGGGUGCGAGCGUUGUCCGGAAUUAUUGGGCGUAAAGAGCUUGUAGGCGGUUUGUCGCGUCUGCAGUGAAAAUCCGAGCUCAACCUCGGACUUGCUGUGGGUGCGGGCAGACUAGAGUAUGGUAGGGGAGACCGGAAUUCCUGGUGUAGCGGUGGAAUGCGCAUAUCAGGAGGAACACCGAUGGCGAAGGCAGGUCUCUGGGCCAUAACUGACGCUGAGAAGCGAAAGCAUGGGGAGCGAACAGGAUUAGAUACCCUGGUAGUCCAUGCCGUAAACGUUGGGCGCUAGGUGUGGGGCUCAUUCCACGAGCUCCGUGCCGCAGCUAACGCAUUAAGCGCCCCGCCUGGGGAGUACGGCCGCAAGGCUAAAACUCAAAGGAAUUGACGGGGGCCCGCACAAGCGGCGGAGCAUGCGGAUUAAUUCGAUGCAACGCGAAGAACCUUACCAAGGCUUGACAUAUACCGGAAACAUCCAGAGAUGGGUGCCCCGCAAGGUCGGUAUACAGGUGGUGCAUGGUUGUCGUCAGCUCGUGUCGUGAGAUGUUGGGUUAAGUCCCGCAACGAGCGCAACCCUCGUUCUAUGUUGCCAGCGCGUAAUGGCGGGGACUCAUAGGAGACUGCCGGGGUCAACUCGGAGGAAGGUGGGGAUGACGUCAAAUCAUCAUGCCCCUUAUGUCUUGGGCUUCACGCAUGCUACAAUGGCCGGUACAAAGGGCUGCGAUACCGCGAGGUGGAGCGAAUCCCAAAAAACCGGUCUCAGUUCGGAUUGGGGUCUGCAACUCGACCCCAUGAAGUCGGAGUCGCUAGUAAUCGCAGAUCAGCAACGCUGCGGUGAAUACGUUCCCGGGCCUUGUACACACCGCCCGUCAAGUCACGAAGUCGGUAACACCCGAAGCCGGUGGCCCAACCCUUGUGGAGGGAGCCGUCGAAGGUGGGACUGGCGAUUGGGACUAAGUCGAACAAGGUAGCCGUACCGGAAGGUGCGGCUG